rnacentral:rRNA from 1 species
CAGCAGCCGCGGUAAUACGGAUGGUGCAAGCGUUAAUCGGAAUUACUGGGCGUAAAGCGCACGCAGGCGGUCUGACAAGUCAGAUGUGAAAUCCCCGGGCUUAACCUGGGAACUGCAUUUGAAACUGUCAGGCUGGAGUCUUGUAGAGGGGGGUAGAAUUCCAGGUGUAGCGGUGAAAUGCGUAGAGAUCUGGAGGAAUACCGGUGGCGAAGGCGGCCCCCUGGACAAAGACUGACGCUCAGGUGCGAAAGCGUGGGGAGCAAACAGGAUUAGAUACCCGUGUAGUCCCUGUCUCUUAUAC